rnacentral:lncRNA from 1 species
CUCUCUCUCUCUCUCUCUCUCUCUCUCUCAAAUAAAUAAAUAAAUAAAAUCUUUUUUAAAAAUCAUACACUACAUACAUGUGCACAUGCAUGUACACAAACAUAUACCACAUACAUUCUACAUCAGUAUUUAAAUAAAUAUGGAAACAUCUGGAAGACUAUAUACUAUCAUCAAUGGUAAACAUAAGGUAUCGCUAUGGAUGACUCAAAAAUAUUUUUCUCUAUCAUUGAACUUUUUGUAGUAAAUAUGUAUCUUGUCUUGAAUUUCCAAAAAAUAGGGAUUCAUGUGCAAAUACUUUAUUGAAGAAGAGCUGUCAAGAAAGAACUUGGAAGGAAAUGAGAUCAUUCUUUCUCAGAAAGAACUUAGAAGGAAAAAGGAAGCAGAAUAGCAAAGAGGAAGAAACUGAGCCAGAAUGUCAAGCUUCAGCCUCAUCCCAUGGGAAGUUUUGGAGCAACACAGAGUAAGCCCUACCUCCACAUCAGGAAGCCAGCUCUUUGUAUGGACAGAGUCAGCCCUUGGUGAUCAACUACUCCCAGGAGUGUGCAUAAGUAACCUCCUGAGCAAAGGGGUUCCCUUGGGCUUAGGGCACUUCAUUGGAGAGGGGAGCAGUUUUGUCAAGAGAAACCAACAUUCAUGGCAGCUGUGGGGAAAAUGUACCAGACUGAAAAGGAGAUCUGUGUAGGACACCCAGGCUUCUGCAGUCUCUACUUUGCACUGUUUAAAAUUCUUGCAUUAAAUUCACUACAUCCAGGGGAACCUGGGUGGCUCCGUGGUUGAGUGUCUGUCUGCCUUUGGCUCAGAUCAUGAUCCUGAGAUCCUGAGAUUGAGUCCUACAUCGGGCUCCCUCCAGGGAGCCUGCUUCUCCCUCUGCCUAUGUCUCUGCAUCUCUCUCUGUGUCACUCAUGAAUAAAUAAAAUAUAUUUUUUAAAGAUUUAUUUAUUUAUUCAUGAGAGACAGAGAGAGAGAGAGAGAGAGGCAGAGACAUAGGCAGAGAGAGAAGCAGGCUCCACGCAGGGAGCCCAAUGCAGAAAUCGAUCCCAGAUCCUGGGAUCACGACCUGGGCUGAAGACAGAUGCCCAACUGCUGAGUCAACCAGGCGUCCCAAAAAAAGUCUUUAAAAAAAAUUUACUACAUCCAGACACAGGUUCUUUAGAAUUCUUUUUUGGUCUUAAGAACACAUGAGUGGGAAUUACAUCCCUCCAUACCCCCUAAAAUUGAUUCUAAGACCAUAGCUGAGACUCAUCAUCUCUCUCAUCCAUCAUCCUUAUUAGAUCCUCCUCUUCCUCUGACAGUAACUUACUUCUGGUGGUAUAGAUGUCUUGCCUAGUGGUCUGACCUAUUCCCAAGGAGCCUGAUCUCAUGGCUAGCAAAGUUGUUUCCCUUUCUCACAAACUAUCAUGAGAGUACUCGAUGCCCAGUGGGUCAUCUGGCUGACAAACAUACUCCCUCCUUUUCCUCACUAUGUAGCAGCAUCCCUACUUCCCCCAAACAAUCAGGGUCAGUAGCCUGGCCUUUACAGUGACUACCUGUUUUGCCUACUAGCCUGCUGGCAUAAAAAUCCUAAGCGACCAAUAGCAGCCAUAGUUUUAAGUUUAGUGGGACUCUGGUGCCCCUGGGGAAAGUGUGAGACCUACAGAGCCUAAAGUUGCUAGGAGAGAAGCAGACUGUUCUAGUGGGACAUCGAGAAUGACAGUGAAUGAAAUCAUUCCUCCCUCUACCACAUACUUCGGCUCCCUGCUUACUACUUAUCAAAAUCUUUUAAUAUCCAUUAUUUUAAGGUACAUACAGAAAAAUGGUAUUAUCUUCAAGCUGGCAUCUCUGCCACUGCUUCAAGCGACACCUACUUUUACCCACACUUACUUUCCCAUACAGUUGGUCCUUUAGUCUGAGGCAGUAUCAGUCAUUGCUCAGAAGCAUCCCAGGGUGUUAGGGUGGGGAUAACCACCAGAGCAGAGCUUGAGCCAUUAGCACCUAGCACUCCCAGCAGCUGGAAGAUAGAUACAAUGGCCCAGUAAAAUAGAUCUGAGCAAGAAACCAAGAAGUAUAUGACUUCUAUAAUUAGAAAAAUAGCAAAAAAGCUUUAAAAAUAUUUUAUAUUCAGCUAUAUUUUUAGAAUGCUGUACAUCUAAAAUGCUUUAAAGUGUAAAGGUGUUUAUUGUCCUCAUUUAUUAAUUCAUUUAUUUAUAUCAUCAUGGACUUACAGAUAUUUUAUACUUUGGGUGAUAAUUCAAAUAAAUUAUCUCUUUUUCUCAAAUUGUUCUACCUUUGGCCACCAGGAGCUUUUCAGUUGGUUCCUGUGCUUCUUUGGAAUACCACCAUACAUGUGGGUGCUUACUUCAGUUUUUUUCAGUGAGCAUAUGUAUUUUUAUUGAGAUAUGAUUCAUAUAACAAACAAAAUUUACCAUUUUGAAGUGUACACUUGUGUAGUUUUUAGUAUAUUCACUCUAUUGUGCAACUAUCAUUUCUAAUUCCAAAACAUUCCAUUACCUCCAAAAUAAAUUCUAUAACUAUUGACAAGCCAAUAUUCUCCCUUCCCCCAGGUCCCGGCAACCAGUAAUCUAUGGAUUUGCCAAUUCUGGCCAUUUUAUAUAAAUGGAAGCAAACACAAAGUGGCCUUUUGUAUCUAACUUCCUUUACUUAGCAUUAUGUUUUCCAGGUUCACCCAUAGUGCACCAUGUAUCAGGACUUCAUUCCUUUUUAUGGCUCAGUAAUAUUCUAUUGUAUGAUGUAUCAUAUUUUGUUUACCCACUCAGCCUCCAGUGGACAUUUAUGUUAUCUCUACUUUUGAGCUAAUAUGAAAAACACUGCUAUGAACAUUUUUGUGCAGGUUUUUGUUUGUGCAUUUCUUUUCAACUCUCUUGGGUGUAUACCUAGGAGAGGAACUUCUUGGCCACCUAGUAUUUCUAUGUUUAAUUUUUGAGGAACUAGAAUAUAAAUUUAAGUCCAUGAAACAUCAUUAUUCAGCACUAUUUUCUCACUGUCAUGUAUCAUUUAUAACUUUCUUGCCAAAGAGAAUUUGAGAUGGUUCAGAUUAGAAAUGUAAAAUACACAUCUUUAAAUGUUUAUUUAUUUAUUUGAGAGACACAGAGAGAUAGCAGGAAAUAGCAGAAGUAGGGAAGAGAGGGAGAAGAAACAGGCUCCACGCUGAGCAGGGAGCCUGACAUGGGGCCUGAUCCCAAGACUCUAGGAUCAUGACCUGAGCCAAAGGUAGACACUUAACCAACUGAGCCACCCAGAUGCCUCUCAAUAUUAUAGUCAUUUUAAAAAUUAUUGUAGUAAAAAUAUCACAAGAUAUGUAAUAUAUGCAUAAGUCUUUCUUACUCUUUUGGGGCUAUGGGUCCUUUUGAGACUCAAAUGGAAGCCAUGGAGCUAGCUUAAGGGAAUCUGAUAUUCAAGAUUGGGAGGCCCUUAUAUCUUGAACAUGGGAUAAGAUGGAUUCAGUAAAUGAGUAUUACAUUUGAUUUGGAAGUUUCCAGGAGCUAGAGAGCUCCUCCCACAAUAGAAAGGAGAUCCCACCUAGUGUCCCUAGCUCCUUGUUUCACAGCUGUCACCCAACUAUAACUUUACCCUACAAUUUAGCAGAGCAGAAAGCAGAAAUACAACUGCAUAAUUUAAAACUGAUCUUAGGAAAUCUCUACUCUUAAAAGUUCAUGGGCACAAACCAGUCUCAGAAACCUAAGAUUAACUGGCCCAGUUCCCUGCCUGGAGUCUGCCUGCCUCCAUGCUGCAAAGAUUAGCUUACUCACACCAUCUGGAAUGUUCCCUGCCACAUCCCAGUUUAGAGUCUAUGUGGACCUGCUCACCAGUCCCAGAGAGGAGGAGGUUCUUCCUUUCCAUGGUACCUAACCUAAAUUAUUUCCUAUUACUGAAUUGACCUCUUCUCAGAACUGACAAUUCUUUCAGGGUAUAUUCUGGCACAAUGAUCCAGACAAGACAAUCUCAACUGUCAACAAUUUCUUUUCCCAUCAGACUUACUUAGUUUUAAAUUCCAUUGCAUUGAAACACUGACAUCCAGUCAUUUGUUGACCCUGGUUGGCACCAGUCAAUAAAAGCCACUUAUGCACAUCAAUGUCCAAUUCUACAUUCAGUGACAUCAUGUUGUUUAGUUUUAAAUGGACCAUUGCAGAAGUAGUUACACCAUGGGAAUUGGCAAACAUUACACAUCAGGGCUUUUUCCCCCCAAAGAGCCAACUGUUAAAUCCUUACCAGCAUACCACGACUGACACCCUAAUCCUACACACCAAAUCUUACCCAGUUAUUCCUUUUACGCAAUGCUCCAUCUAGCACCGUGCCUAAAUAUUUCACAAACACAUACUUCAGGACUGUCUCCAUUUCACAGAUAAGAAAAGAGAUUUAGAAACACUAAGCGUCCAAAGUUACACAGCUAGUAAGUAGCAUAUGUGAAACUCAAACUUAGGUCUUUUUGAGCUCCAAAUCUACAUAUAUGUGUGCAUGAUUUAUACAGUAAUGUUCUUAAAACCACUCACUAGUAUGGUAUGAAAAACAUUACAUAUAUCUAUAUAAACUUGUGCAUUUGCGUCCUAUACCUAGGCUGAAACACAACAAAAAAAAUAAGUUAGAAAAGAAUAUUUCUUUGAUGGUAGUUGCUAGAACAAGGCAGCUCUACUGAUCUUGCAAAUUAAUUUGGGAAAAAUUUUUUAUCGUAAAUCCCUUUUUGCAUGCUAUCCCUCAUCACCUGAGGGAUUUAAAGACUAAUCUGAAAUUAUCUCAUUUCAUAUGAAUUUCUUCUUAUUCCCUCCUCCUCGAUUUAUAGCUCCCCUUUAUACCACUGUUUUAGGCUCUUUUAUUCAAGGAUCAUUUUCAGUGUUGAUUUGUGUCUUUUUCACUAUACUGUGAGCACCCAGGUGAUACUCAUCCUGUUCCCUUUCAGUUCCUAGAACAGCACUGUGCAUAGUCACGUCUCAAUAGAUAGUUGCUGAAAUGAAAUGAAUUCAUCUCAAAAUGACCCCAAAGAGCUGAUAUUUGUUUUCAUUUGUUUUAUGACCAUCCCUUUCACCUUGUCACAAUGACAACCUAUUGCUUCCAUAUUCAAUACUCACCUUUUUUUCUAAAGUCAUAACACCCUGUAAGUUUUAGCAUCAAAUCACAUAUAGGGCAGAAAUGCUAUUCAAGACACUGGGCACUCUGUCUACUUGCUAUAACAUGUAGCACAACCCAAGAGUUUCUGUCAAGUAUUACUUUACUAUUUCCCUGAAGAGAGUUACACAGUUUAUACUUCCUCUAAACAAUUGCACAGAAGUGUCCCACACUCAGGAGAAUUUGUAUUAUGGAAAUAUUUUAUCUCCUCUGUCUAAAAUUAUAUAUUGCUAACAUGUGAGUCUAUAAAUCAUAGAAGGUCAGAAAGAAGCAUUAUUAAUAUAUGUUUUAGUAUAUUCUAAGUCUUAGCAGUUGAGUCAAAGAAACUGUAUUUGCCAAUAACCUUAGCCAUCAAUGUUCUUGUCUCUAAAGAUCCCUGAAGCAUCAAUCAUUAUAUUCCACCACUGGACCUUCUUACCUCCAAAUAUAUUGUGUGUUGCCAUAUUUUGUUUUCAGGCCCCCUAGGAUUGGAGGGUAUAAGGUUCUCUACAAAAGUACUCAGUAUAUCAUUAAUCUGAAUGUCUUGAUACUUGUCAUAAGGAACAAAAUUGUUUUCUUUUCAAUUUCAGCCGGUUAAUCUUACCUAGAAGCCUUUGUACCAACCUACAUCAUUUUUCUCCCAUCUCAACCUUCAAAGGGACUUCUGUUGUUGUUAGACUUUUAUACUUUGUAGCCCUUACUCAUAAAUCAUCUACUUAGGCCCAUAAUCAUUUAAUUUUCCUCUUCAGUUAACUCUCUCUAGGUAGUAUAAAUCAGAUUAUUACAUUAUGUAUUUG